rnacentral:rRNA from 1 species
UACGAAGGGUGCAAGCGUUAAUCGGAAUUACUGGGCGUAAAGCGCGCGUAGGUGGUUCAGUAAGUUGGAUGUAAAAUCCCCGGGCUCAACCUGGGAACUGCAUCCAAAACUGCUGAGCUAGAGUACGGUAGAGGGUGGUGGAAUUUCCUGUGUAGCGGUGAAAUGCGUAGAUAUAGGAAGGAACACCAGUGGCGAAGGCGACCACCUGGACUGAUACUGACACUGAGGUGCGAAAGCGUGGGGAGCAAACAGG